GGUUAAGCUACUAAGAGCACACGGAGGAUGCCUAGGCGCUAGGAGCCGAAGAAGGACGUGGCGAACAACGAUACUGCCUCGGGGAGCUGUAAGCAAGCUUCGAUCCGGGGAUGUCCGAAUGGGGAAACCCGGCUGGAUUAAUACCCAGUCACUCAUAUCUGAAUACAUAGGAUAUGAAGAGGCAUACCAGGGGAACUGAAACAUCUAAGUACCCUGAGGAAGAGAAAACAAGAGUGAUUCCGUCAGUAGCGGCGAGCGAACGCGGAACAGCCUAAACCAGAGAGCUUGCUCUCUGGGGUUGUGGGACGUCUCACAUGGAGUUACAAAGGAUUAGGUUAGGCGAAGAGGUCUGGAAAGGCCCGCUAGAAGAGGUAAAAGCCCUGUAACCGAAAGUCUAAUCCCUCCGAGACGGAUCCCGAGUAGUGCGGGGCACGUGAAACCCCGUAUGAAUCUGGCAGGACCAUCUGCUAAGGCUAAAUACUCCCUAGCGACCGAUAGUGAAGCAGUACCGUGAGGGAAAGGUGAAAAGCACCCCGGAAGGGGAGUGAAAAAGAACCUGAAACCGUGUGCUUACAAGAAGUCAGAGCCC
rnacentral:rRNA from 1 species